rnacentral:rRNA from 1 species
UAGUCAUAUGCUUGUCUCAAAGAUUAAGCCAUGCAUGUCUAAGUAUAAGCAAUCUAUACAGUGAAACUGCGAAUGGCUCAUUAAAUCAGUUAUCGUUUAUUUGAUGAUACCUUUACUACUUGGAUAACCGUGGUAAUUCUAGAGCUAAUACAUGCAUAACAAGUCCCGACCUCUGGAAGGGAUGUAUUUAUUAGAUAAAAAACCAAUGCCUUCGGGCUCUUUGGUGAAUCAUAGUAACUUCACGAAUCGCAUAGCCUUGUGCUGGCGAUGGUUCAUU